CAAGGACCGCAAGCUCGUCCACGACGUCCCCGCAGUCUACUUCGUCCAACCCACUCAAGCCAACAUCGACCUCAUAGCCGCCGCCGCCUCCCGAUUCUCUACGAUUCGUUCCAACUCAAUUUCUCGUCUUCUAUUUCUGUGCUUCAUGUCAUUGUCGGCAUGUCGUAGAAGAGAAGAUGAGAUCGGCUUCUUCCCCUUCCUGGUCUUCUGUGAGAACCCUAGAAAAGAAUCGAGAUGGUGGAUCUAAGUAGAGUGCCGCUCAGAUAUGGAAAGCUCGUAAUCAGCAAAACUUUGUCAGAUACUGGGUUUUCGCUGCUUCCUGACAGAGACUGCGGGUAGAGCUUUGCCGUAUCUCGAUUUGGAAGGAGAGAAGAGCGCCAUUGGAUUCGAUGGACUUUUUCAGGUGUGGGCUUGACUACGUACUUAACUGCUAAGCAGAUUUAAGGCUUGUGGACAUACACUAAGAUGCACUCUACCGCUAAAAUACACCAAUUUGCAAAGAUUGGUGUCAGAAACAAUACGAGUACUAAACAACAAGGGGUUAGAGUUUCACAAAUGGAGCGGUGACCUUUCUCAACUACUGCAGAAUGUGAAGGAGAAGCUGAAUAGAGUUGUGGUGGUAAAUAAAUAUGCUGGAGUGUUGGUGCUUUUUAUUAGUAUAAUUAGAUAGGCACAUAGAUGAACUUAUACAGUUAAAGAUAUACAGAGAGAGGAAGCAGGCCAAAGACAUGAGAAAGAGAAAGGGAGAUGGCAGUGGCGUUGGAUUCCGCAGUAGGGGGUGGUAGCCACUUUGGUGGAUUGAUGAUUGCUAGAGGGGAUGUGUGUACAUAUGAGUUGCAACAAGUUUUCAUUAUCCUGAUCAACCAUAUAGAAAGUCAAUGGUGGGCGAGCUGUAUGUAGUAUAAAUUUUGUGCGCUUGAAUCAAUUGCUGCAGCUACGGACUUUUUCCAAUUGUUCUCAUUAGUUACCUCCUUUUCUACUUCCACUUGUUCUUUUUUUUUUUUUUGGCCGAGGCUAAUACU